AUUGAACGCUGGCGGCAUGCCUUACACAUGCAAGUCGAACGGCAGCACGGGAGCAAUCCUGGUGGCGAGUGGCGAACGGGUGAGUAAUAUAUCGGAACGUGCCCAGUCGUGGGGGAUAACGUAGCGAAAGCUACGCUAAUACCGCAUACGAUCUAUGGAUGAAAGCGGGGGAUCGCAAGACCUCGCGCGAUUGGAGCGGCCGAUAUCAGAUUAGGUUGUUGGUGGGGUAAAAGCCUACCAAGCCUGCGAUCUGUAGCUGGUCUGAGAGGACGACCAGCCACACUGGAACUGAGACACGGUCCAGACUCCUACGGGUGGCAG
rnacentral:rRNA from 1 species